GGGAAACCUGGGGCUUUGGUGGGAGGGGACGGAGAGACAAUUCUACGGGGCUGUUUGUUAGUGAGUCCCUUAGCAGUUGGGGUUCCCGAAGGUUUGUGGGUUGACCCGGGGUUGCAGUACGUGCCCAUGUGUGCCUUCGCCUCUCCCAAGGGCCCAUCUCUUCCUGGUAGUGCCCUUGUGUACUUAUCCGGGACGUCGUGUUUCUUUCUUGGGACUGUUGUCUGGGUCUGCACGUAGGGUGAGUUUCUAUCUACCUGCUGUGAGGUGCAAUGGGGCAGAGAUCUGCAGUGGCGUGAAGCCCCACCCUACCCUGCAGGCCUGUCCUUGCCAGCGAUCAGACCUUCCGACCCCACCAGGGUCAGAGCUGCCUGGGCCUGAGGGGGCCCUGCCCUGAGGAGGACGCCGAGGCUUUGAGCAGGUAGCCAGGGGAACCAGGGCCUCGGAGUCUGGACGCUAAGGUCCUUGAGAGAGACUGGGAAGGGCCUUGCUGGCUUAUGGCGGGGAACUGGAGGGUGGAAGUCGAGGAAGGGGCUGGGAGAGGAGGAGCCAGCCCUCAGGCUGGGCUGGGUGUAGAGGACCGGAGACUCAGAGCAGUCAGAGAGAAGCCGAGCCUGGUGAUGUGAAAAGAGUAGGUCUAGGAGGCCGGGUUGGACAGGUGAGCCCCGCUCCCUUCCCCCAUUCAAACUCCGGCGCAGCGCCGGGCCUGUGGGAACGCGCUCCUUCCCUGUGCCCUGGGGCUGCUCCCCUUCACCUCCCUCUCUAGGAACUGAGCCC
ensembl:lncRNA